CUGGGACCGACGGCACGAGCUGGUGCCCUGAGGACAGACUGAGCCCCGCAUCCAUUCUUGUUGCCUCUCACCAUGAUGAUGAGGAUGUCACCAGCACUGGGCCCUUUAUCACGAAGCUGAGCACACACCUGGACCUGGAGAAGCUGUAGGAGGAGCCAGGGCCAGGUGGAGCAGCAGCAGGCUGGUAGCUGCCCCGGGCCAUGCAGUGUGCAGUGGAGAGCAACCAUGUGUGUGUACGUGCUGCAAGGGGCUGAGGUGGUUUCACCCUCCAGGUCUCACUCGAGGGUCUCUCUCCUGGCCUCCUUCUCGUGGGUUGCAUGGUAUCCCCCAAAAGAUAUGUUGAGAUGCUAAGCCCCAGGAUCUCAGAAUGUGACGUUAUUUGGAAUUAGAGUCAUUGCACGUGUAAUUAAUUGAGGUAAUGAGAUCAUUUAGAAUAGGGUGGGCUCCUGAUCCAGUAGAACUGUCCUAAUAAGGAGAGGGAAACGUGGACACAGACCUGGAGAGGGAAGACGACGGGAAGACACACAGGGAGAAGAUGGCCAGGUGGAAAUAGAGGCAGAGAUUGGGGUGAUGCAGCCACAGCCAAGGACGCCUGGGGCUACCAGAAGCUGGAAGGGGCCAGGAAGGCUCCUCCCCCAGAGGUCUGGAGGGAGUGCUACCCUGCUGACAUCUUGAUUUUGGCCUCCAGGCUUCUGGAACUGUGAGAGAACACAUUUCCGUGGUUUUCAGCCAUCCAAGCGUUCAGAACUUUGUGACAGCAGCCUCUGGAAACAGCCUCGCAGCAGAAACCCACAUGGAAGGCAGUUCUGGAAGUGUGGCUCAGCCAGGCCCCGCAGGAGAUCAGAGCCACCCCAGCCUCUGAGAUGAAUGUCUCCUCCUCACGGAGUUUUGCCAAGCCCCCUCCCUAAACCAGGGAGCCAGUCCUCUGCCCGGCUCCUUCCUGGUGCCAACCACAGUGGCGAUUGCAUUGGGGCCCUGGACAGCCUUGCCAGGCUCCCUCAGGAGCCUGUCACUCCCUGAGGACAAAGCCCCAUGAGGUAGGUGCUGCCAUGAGCCCUAUUUUCCAGAUGAGGAAAACUGAGGCUUAGAAACAGUUAAGUGGCCCGUCCCAGAUCACAUGGCCAGGUUUGUAUUCCGAGGCUCAGUUGUCUGGGGCACGAGUGCUUGAAGGAGAAGAGAAGAGAAAAGCACACUGGAAUGCUUGCAUACGUGCUCCGGCAAGUUUGCAUCUGACUCUCAAGGCUGUUUCGUCACCUGAUCUCCCAGUGACUCUGAGAUGUGUGAUGAGUCCAGCUCAAGGAGUGGGGAGCUCAGGGGCAUGCCCACUGCCACUCAGCAGGGCAGGCUCUCCCUGAAGGGAGGGAAGAUGACAGCCAGCAGCAGCCCCUGACCUAGCAACCCCAGUGGGAGGAGAGACCCCUUUACCG
rnacentral:lncRNA from 10 species